CAGUAGCCGCGGUAAUACGUAGGUGGCAAGCGUUGUCCGGAAUUAUUGGGCGUAAAGGGCGCGUAGGCGGCCUUUCAAGUUAGAUGUGAAAGCCCUGGGCUCAACCUAGGAAUUGCAUUUGAUACUGUUUGGCUUGAGUUCGGGAGAGGUGAGUGGAAUUCCCGGUGUAGCGGUGAAAUGCGUAGAUAUCGGAAGGAACACCUGUGGCGAAAGCGGCUCACUGGACCAUAACUGACGCUGAUGCACGAAAGCUAGGGGAGCAAACAGGAUUAGAUACCCCUGUAGUCCCUGUCUCUUAUAC
rnacentral:rRNA from 1 species